rnacentral:rRNA from 1 species
AUUGAACGCUGGCGGCAGGCCUAACACAUGCAAGUCGAAUGGUAACAGGAAACAGCUUGCUGUUUCGCUGACGAGUGGCGGACGGGUGAGUAAUGCCUGGGAAACUGCCUGAUGGAGGGGGAUAACUACUGGAAACGGUAGCUAAUACCUCAUAACGUCGCAAGACCAAAGAGGGGGACCUUCGGGCCUCUUGCCAUCAGAUGUGCCCAGAUGGGAUUAGCUAGUAGGUGGGGUAACGGCUCACCUAGGCGACGAUCCCUAGCUGGUCUGAGAGGAUGACCAGCCACACUGGAACUGAGACACGGUCCAGACUCCUACGGGAGGCAGCAGUGGGGAAUAUUGCACAAUGGGCGCAAGCCUGAUGCAGCCAUGCCGCGUGUAUGAAGAAGGCCUUCGGGUUGUAAAGUACUUUCAGCGGGGAGGAAGGGAGUAAAGUUAAUACCUUUGCUCAUUGACGUUACCCGCAGAAGAAGCACCGGCUAACUCCGUG